UGUUUCCCUAAAAUGUAUAAAACCAAGCUGUAGCCAGACCACCUAAGGCACACGUUCUCAGGACCUCCUGAGGCUGUGUCAUGAGCCUGUCUUUAACCUUGGCAAAAUAAGCUUCUAACUGAUUGAGACCUGUCUCAGAUACUUUUUGGUCUACAUUAUAAAUAAAACCAAACAACUGUAAAAUGGAGUCUAUCUUCUGGCCUUGACAAAUGUACCUUCAUAGAGAUCUGUGAGGCCAAGUUCAAAUGUAGACUUCUUGGACUCCUUGGAGUUCCAUGUGGUCCUGUGAGAAGAGACAGCAAUGCCCCAACCUGCCUUUGUAGGUGUGUGCUGAUCUGGGCACACAUCCUAGAAGGUUUGGUUUAAAAUAUAAUGAUAUAUUUUACCAAGUCUUGUGAACCAUCAGGCCUCCCUCAGGCCCGGACUGGGAAUUGCCAAUUUCGUUAGGUGUGACAGUAAUACUAUGAGAAUGUUUAAAAAAAUAGGCCUUACUAAUUAAACAUACUCGAGUAUUUAAAGGAGAAUUUAUCUACUGGGAUGCUUUAAAAUUACUCUGGGAAAAAAGGGAAAACGAAAGGCAUGUGUGGGGUGAAGCACAGACUUGCCGUUGUUGUUUUUCAAGCAAAAGGCGGGUCCCAAGGGAAGUUGGCUGUCGGUGGGUUCCCGUUCUCCGUACCUUUCUACCUUGACAGCUCCAUAAUAAAACCUGCAGCCGCAUGGGCGCCUCUCCCGUAGCGCUCCCGCGGGGGCGCCAGUGGGGCCCCAGCUGCGAGGAGGGCCCGGGCUCGCGAGCCUCGGUCCCCCACUUUCGUCCCCGCGAUCCCCGGCUCCCAGCCCCCCGGGCCCCCGGCGGGGCUCUGCGCCGCCGGAGCUUGGGCGUCUGCUGCUGUCCCGGAGCGCCAAAUCGUCCGAGGGCCGGCCGCCCGG
rnacentral:lncRNA from 1 species